UGAGAGGAUGAUCCCCCACACUGGUACUGAGACACGGACCAGACUCCUACGGGAGGCAGCAGUGAGGAAUAUUGGGCAAUGGGCGACAGCCUGACCCAGCCAUGCCGCGUGCAGGAUGACUGCCCUAUGGGUUGUAAACUGCUUUUAUACGGGAAGAAUGGUUCCUACGUGUAGGGAUUUGACGGUACCGUAAGAAUAAGCAUCGGCUAACUCCGUGCCAGCAGCCGCGGUAAUACGGAGGAUGCAAGCGUNAUCCGGAUUCAUUGGGUUUAAAGGGUGCGCAGGCGGAAUAUUAAGUCAGUGGUGAAAUCCUGCAGCUUAACCUUUGACUUGCCAUUGAGACUGAUAUUCUGGAAGUACUUGAGCUGGCCGGAAUGUCUAAUGUAACGUUGAAAUGCUUAGAUAUUACACAGAACACCGAUUGCGAAGGCAGCUCACUAAACUAACAUCGACGCUGAGGCACGAAAGCCUGGGGAGCGAACAGGAUUAGAUACCCUGGUAGUCCACGCCGUAAACUAUGAUCACUCGCUGUUGGCAAUACAUCGUCAGCGGCUGAGCGAAAGCAUUAAGUGAUCCACCUGGGGAUUACGAUCGCAAGAUUGAAACUCAAAGGAAUUGACGGGGGCCCGCACAAGCGGAGGAACAUGUGGUUUAAUUCGAUGAUACGCGAGGAACCUUACCUGGGCUUAAAUGCAGAUCGACGUUCCGGGAAACCGGAAUUCCUUCGGGCGAACUGCAAGGUGCUGCAUGGCUGUCGUCAGCUCGUGCCGUGAGGUGUCGGGUUAAGUCCCAUAACGAGCGCAACCAUNAUCGUUAGUUGCCAGCGGCUAAUGCCGGGAACUCUAACGAAACUGCCGCUCUAAACCGUGAGGAAGGUGGGGAUGACGUCAAGUCAGCACGGCCCUUAUGUCCAGGGCUACACACGUGUUACAAUGGUCGGUACAAAGGGCAGCUACCAGGCGACUGA
rnacentral:rRNA from 1 species